CUGGGAAAACAUGUAGCUGGCUCUUACAGCUUCGUGCGUUCAUGGACUAUCGUGAACACUGUAUCACUCCCAGAAUCUGCAGCUAUAAUCUCUGGCUGAGAUCAAAAUCCUCAUCCUUGGCGAGGGGAAAGAAAUUCAAAGAUUUGGUUUGGAUUUUUGUUCAUCAAGAUAAUAGGGAGUAUGCACGUUCUAAGGACAUAAUCUCCUAUCGGACCAAUUCCUUCAGUGGGAUUGCUUGUUGCAAAGAUAAAGAGAGACAGCCAGCAAGAGAGGGAACACAAG